CCGCAUUUUAAGUCAAGAAGAAGAACCUGAAGAAGAAGCCUGAUCAUGCUAACGUUUUCAGAAUGGGUACACAAGUGAAAGAUGUCAUCAUUAAGCCUGAUGCUCCCAGCGCUCUGCUGCUGGACAAACACGCA